AUUAUUUCUUUAAGUGAAAUAAUGAUACAUUUUCUUCUACUAAAAGAAAUAGAAUAGAAUUUGAUGAGUUUUGUGUCAAUUUGUUCUGUGGAAUUUUAUUUAUCAUAACCAACAUCUGAAACUUAAUCUAGCUGUAAAAUUAGGUAUCUUAUAUUUAUUUAUUUAUAAAGGUACAGAACAACCCCCAAAAAGUACUGACAUAAUUCACAUUAUGGGCGGGACAUUUUUGUGGGUGAGAAGUUGGAAAGGUAGGAUAUUGAGGGGAAUUUAAUUUAUAUAUCUGUUCACAACGAUUAAUCAUUGCUAACGAAAAACGAUUCUGAGCGGAAUUCAAUUAUACGCGUUUUAAAAGGAUGUAAUAUCCAAUCAAAACGUGACAGGAAACCAUUUUUGUUGCAAUUUGGUUCUAUAGUUGAUACUUUAGAAAGAUAAUUUUUUGCUAAAAGCUGGUUAUUUUGGAAAUUAAAAGAUUAAAAACUAUAAGGUUGUAUUGAUAACCGUUUUUAUUUAACUUUUGUUAUUACUAAGUCUUAUAAUUUUAAUCUUAAUCUUUUUUAAACAAUCGUUUUUGUUGUGGAAAAGCAAUAAUACAAGUAUUGAUCGAGUUCCGAUCAGAAUCGUGUUUUGUUAGAAAUGAUUAAUCGUUAUGUACAGAUAUAGGUACCUAUAAAUUAAAUUUUCUUCUAUAUAAUUAAUAACCUUCCCAACUUCUCACGUACAAUAGUAGCUCACUCGUGGUGCGAAUUAUGUCUGUCAAUUAUUUUUAAAUACCUACCUAUCUUGAAUAUUACUUUUUAUAUUAAAAUAAUAUAACAGUGAUAUUAAUGAAACUUGCAAAUAAAAUUUGUUUGUUGCGUAUGACGUAUGUUUAUUAUAUUUAUUUAGGUAUUUAGUUUCCAUGACGACUUACCAUUAGAAGGAUUGUAUAGUACCUACCCCAGUGACCU